rnacentral:rRNA from 1 species
GGCGGACGGGUGAGUAAUGCUUGGGAAUAUGCCUUUUGGUGGGGGACAACAGUUGGAAACGACUGCUAAUACCGCAUGAUGUCUACGGACCAAAGUGGGGGACCUUCGGGCCUCACGCCAAGAGAUUAGCCCAAGUGGGAUUAGCUAGUUGGUAAGGUAAUGGCUUACCAAGGCGACGAUCCCUAGCUGGUUUGAGAGGAUGAUCAGCCACACUGGGACUGAGACACGGCCCAGACUCCUACGGGAGGCAGCAGUGGGGAAUAUUGCACAAUGGGCGCAAGCCUGAUGCAGCCAUGCCGCGUGUGUGAAGAAGGCCUUCGGGUUGUAAAGCACUUUCAGUAAGGAGGAAAGGUUAAGUUUUAAUAGAGCUUAGCUGUGACGUUACUUACAGAAGAAGCACCGGCUAACUCCGUGCCAGCAGCCGCGGUAAUACGGAGGGUGCGAGCGUUAAUCGGAAUUACUGGGCGUAAAGCGUAC